UUUCGCAAAUUUGUAAAUUUUGUUCAGUUUCUUAAUAAACUUUUUGAUCCACAAUUUAAGAAAAGCUCAUGUGUAUUUCGGUUCAUCCGGUGGUAAAUAUUAUUUUAUUUUAAUCAUAUUUAUUUACAGAUAUAACUUACAUUAAAGAAAUUAAGCUUAAAAUCAGCCAUCACCCACCUUUAAAGUAAUUAAAUUAUACUGUAGUUCUCGAGUAUAGGCUUUUUCUUUGUCCCACUCCUUCUAAAUUAAAGCCUAUAGAGGUUUAAGCAACAUUUUUCGAAAUGUUGUGCCUACAAGUACGUGCGGCUUGCCCACAAACGUGUGGAGGGCUCCUCAUAUUUUUAUUUUUAUACCCAAAUUAAAUUGUUCCAAUUAGAUGGAAAUGAGGAAAACCUAGCGUAGCUCUGUUGAAUCUUCAACGUUAGAGGGCAAAAGCGCUAUAUAUCACGUAUCACGUAAAAUUAUAUUUUUGUAGAAAAUUCUAAAAUUAAUAUCGGCGCUUGGAAUCGGAAUCUUUCUCGCAUCCUUACAUUUAUAGGGUAGACAUAAAUAAAGCCAAGAAAAUUCUAAAAUUAAAUACAGUACCUCAAGGCAAAGAAAAUUCUAAAAUUAAAACAAAACCAAGCUAAUAUUAAAUAUAAAUACAGUACCUCAAGGCAAAGCAUUUGAACACAUGGAUAAAAUUAGGAAUAUUUAUAUUUUCUAAGAAAUAGAACAUUAGAAGAACUAUAAUUAUGAAUUUUUUAAAUAAUGAUACCUACAUAUAGAAAAUCAGUUAUUAUAAAAAUAAAAUAUAUUUUACCUGUAUUUCUCGGGAGAGGUUACACAGUAAAUAACCUAUUUACUGAAACAGCAGUAUGCAACGAUAUUUGCAAAUAUUUGAGUGGAAGAAGAGGAAUCACGACAUUAGUGCCUCCUUUGAUAAAUCCUUGACAAGAAGUUGGAGACAGUGAUGUGGGGAAUUCUGGGAACUUGUUGGAGGAAAGUCAAAUGUUCAAUCCUCCACAAGAAGUUGAAGACAGUGAUGUGGGGAUAAUUUGUACUUUAAGUUUAUUCAUAAUUGCAUAAUGCUCUUCUUUAGAUUUAUCAGGAUGGUGGUGAAUAUGUUUCAAUAUAUUUUUAUUAUUAAUUGUAAAAAAUGCUAACAUAUAAAAAUUGAAUUUAUUAUUCUUUGGGAAAGUAAAAUUAUAUUGGAAGUUCUAUAUUUAUAUUGAGAAUGAAUGGUGUUAUAUUUGUGAGGAAAAGAUUGGUGAA